CAACUACAUCUGCAAACGGGCCAACCUCGAGUCCAUUGUGGCGCCAAAAGAAAAUCAAGUCUUGGACAUCAGUGAAGAACAGGCAGCGAAGCCCGUCGACCAGAUAGUGAUGGUGCCAAAAGAAAAUCAAGAGUUGGAUG